UAACCAUCCAGCACUUAAAAAAAUCAUAAAUCAGCAAUAUAUUGGCAUUUCAGUGCUAAUGAACCAUUAAACAGCACAUGUUAAUGCUGAUCAGCAUUUAUGAAUCUGCACUGUGAAAUGCUGAUAUAUGGCUGAUUAAGUGCCAUAGCAAGCAACACUGUCUUGAUAUUUUUGUAAACUGGCAACACGAUUACUAUUUUGAGUGAUGAGAGAAAGAGAGAGCACAUCAAGCAAAUUCAGCAAAACAAACCGAUUGAGAUACUCGCUAACUCAUCGAAAGAAAAUUAUUUGAUAAUAAACAAAGUAGCAGCAAAUUGUUGGUUUGAUACCAAGUUUAAUUCUGUGAAAAAUCAAUGAAAUGGACAAAGAUCAAGCGGAAAAACCGUUCGGCUACUCCGAUAACAUUAGCGCCAUGGAGUUUUCAAGGCUGGUUCUCGGAGAAAAUUGCGCUAGAGGAAAGGAAAACACCCACGAAGUGCCUGAGAUGAACGACCGUGCUAAAACCGUGUAGUCGUCGAAACUUUGGUUCCCCGGCCAGGCAGGCUGCAUAGUUUUAGUUUUGAUGAUUGUGUUUCUUAAUAAAAAUCAAAUUUUCUACCCAGAGAA